rnacentral:sRNA from 1 species
UGCCUAAACCCGUAGGUUAGCUACUGGCAUGGCGCGAAAGACCCAAUGACGAUACUGAACCCCGUGUUCAGCAACUCGUCAUUGGGCUAUAUCCCGAAAGGGGUAUAGGGUCGCAAGACCU